rnacentral:rRNA from 1 species
GUGUCAGCAGCCGCGGUAAUACAGAGGGUGCAAGCGUUGUUCGGAAUUAUUGGGCGUAAAGCGCGUGUAGGCGGUCUCGCAAGUCGGAUGUGAAAGCCCUCGGCUUAACCGAGGAAGUGCGUUCGAUACUACGGGACUUGAGUACCGGAGAGGGUGGCGGAAUUCCCGGUGUAGAGGUGAAAUUCGUAGAUAUCGGGAGGAACACCAGUGGCGAAGGCGGCCACCUGGACGGCUACUGACGCUGAGACGCGAAAGCGUGGGGAGCAAACAGGAUUAGAUACCCUGGUAGUCC